rfam:Human herpesvirus 4 strain AG876, complete genome.
GGCCCGGGGAAGUGGAGGGGGAUCGCCCGGGUCUCUGUUGGCAGAGUCCGGGCGAUCCUCUGAGACCCUCCGGGCC